AUUGAACGCUGGCGGCAGGCUUAACACAUGCAAGUCGAGCGGAGAGAGGUAGCUUGCUACUGAUCUUAGCGGCGGACGGGUGAGUAAUGCUUAGGAAUCUGCCUAUUAGUGGGGGACAACAUUUCGAAAGGAAUGCUAAUACCGCAUACGUCCUACGGGAGAAAGCAGGGGAUCUUCGGACCUUGCGCUAAUAGAUGAGCCUAAGUCGGAUUAGCUAGUUGGUGGGGUAAAGGCCUACCAAGGCGACGAUCUGUAGCGGGUCUGAGAGGAUGAUCCGCCACACUGGGACAGAGACACGGCCCAGACUCCUACGGGAGGCAGCAGGGGGGAAUAUUGGACAAUGGGCGCAAGCCUGAUCCAGCCAUGCCGCGUGUGUGAAGAAGGCCUUAUGGUUGUAAAGCACUUUAAGCGAGGAGGAGGCUACUUUAGAUAAUACCUAGAGAUAGUGGACGUUACUCGCAGAAUAAGCACCGGCUAACUCUGUGCCAGCAGCCGCCGUAAGAC
rnacentral:rRNA from 1 species